UCUCAUAAAAAUGAGUAUUUCUGCUCUUCUCCUUGUGGGGUGGGUGUGCAGUGCCUGCAAACAGCAGGCUGCUUGAUCUCACCUGCAGCCUGUUGCUUGUAUGGACGGCCCUAAGGGAGCCUGGAGACAGCC
ensembl:snoRNA SNORA70 Small nucleolar RNA SNORA70